rnacentral:rRNA from 1 species
UUGCCGGCGACCGGCGCACGGGUGAGUAACGCGUAUCCAACCUUCCGUACACUCAGGGAUAGCCUUUCGAAAGAAAGAUUAAUACCUGAUGGUAUGAUGAGAUUGCAUGAUAGCAUCAUUAAAGAUUUAUCGGUGUACGAUGGGGAUGCGUUCCAUUAGGUAGUAGGCGGGGUAACGGCCCACCUAGCCAACGAUGGAUAGGGGUUCUGAGAGGAAGGUCCCCCACAUUGGAACUGAGACACGGUCCAAACUCCUACGGGAGGCAGCAGUGAGGAAUAUUGGUCAAUGGACGAGAGUCUGAACCAGCCAAGUAGCGUGAAGGAUGAAGGUUCUAUGGAUUGUAAACUUCUUUUAUACGGGAAUAAACGGAUCCACGUGUGGAUUUUUGCAUGUACCGUAUGAAUAAGGAUCGGCUAACUCCGUGCCAGCAGCCGCGGUAAUACGGAGGAUCCGAGCGUUAUCCGGAUUUAUUGGGUUUAAAGGGAGCGUAGAUGGGUUGUUAAGUCAGUUGUGAAAGUUUGCGGCUCAACCGUAAAACUGCAAUUGAUACUGGCAGUCUUGAGUACAGUUGAGGUAGGCGGAAUUCGUGGUGUAGCGGUGAAAUGCUUAGAUAUCACGAAGAACUCCGAUUGCGAAGG